rnacentral:misc_RNA from 1 species
CAACCCUCGAACCCCUCCGGGGGGUCGGCGUUGGGGAUCGGCCCCUCACCGGGCCGCCCCGAAAUACAGUGGCGGUCUCGCCGCAGCCUCUCCUGCGCAGUAGUUUGCACACUCGCACCGGGAGCGCGGCGCGGCCACAGCCGUAAAACACCCCAAGCUCUGAAA